CACGGAGGGUGCAAGCGUUAUCCGGAUUCACUGGGUUUAAAGGGUGCGUAGGCGGGUUGGUAAGUCCGUGGUGAAAUCCCCAAGCUUAACUUGGGAACUGCCGUGGAUACUAUCAAUCUUGAAUAUCGUGGAGGUAAGCGGAAUAUGUUAUGUAGCGGUGAAAUGCUUAGAUAUGACAUAGAACACCAAUUGCGAAGGCAGCUCACUACACAAUCAUUGACGCUGAGGCACGAAAGCGUGGGGAUCAAACAGG
rnacentral:rRNA from 1 species